GGAAACAGCUCAAAGCCAUCUUCCCCGCCUCCGGGGCCUUUCUGGAGGUGGGCAGUGUUGCGAAUGACGAUAGCCACCGCACUAGAGGCCUGGGCUUGAGGCGAACCCUGUACAAAGUGCUUUAAAAAGAACAGACAGGCUCCUUCAUCCUCUCACUUUACAGAUAAGCAGAUGGAGGCUCAGAGAAGUGAGGAGCCAGCCCAGGGCCAGGUAGGAGUGGGAAGAUG
rnacentral:lncRNA from 10 species